AUUGAACGCUGGCGGCAGGCCUAACACAUGCAAGUCGAGCGGAGCGGCGGACGGGUGAGAAAUGCCUAGGAAUCUACCUGGUAGAGGGGGAUAACGUCCGGAAACAGGCGCUCCUACCGCAUACUAUCAGAUGAGCCUAGGUCGGAUUAGCUAGUUGGUGGGAUAACGGUCUACCAAGGCGACGAUCCGUAACUGGUCUGAGAGGAUGAUCAGUCAGACUGGAAGUGAGACACGGUCCAGACGCCUACGGUAGGAAGCAGUGGGGAAGAUUGGACAAUGGGCGAAAGCCUGAGCCAGCCAUGCCGCUUGUGUGAAGAAGGUCUUCGGAUUGUAAAGCACUUUAAGUUGGGAGGCGUUACCAACAGAAUAAGCACCGGCUAACUUCGUGCCAGCCGCCGCGGUAAUAC
rnacentral:rRNA from 1 species